UAGUGACGAAAAAUAACGAUACGGGACUCAUCCGAGGCCCCGUAAUCGGAAUGAGUAUACUCUAAAUCCUUAUACGAGUAUCAAUUGGAGGGCAAGUCUGGUGCCAGCAGCCGCGGUAAUUCCAGCUCCAAUAGCGUAUAUUAAAGUUGUUGCGGUUAAAAAGCUCGUAGUUGGAUCUGUGUCCCGCACCGUCGGUUCACCGCCUGUCGGUGUUCAACUGUCGUGUAUGCGGAACGUCCUGCCGGUGGCGGUCCGGUGCCCCGUCGGUACGUAGGGGUCGUCCUUGCUUCGCUUGCGUCGUCCCCGAAGGCCUUCGUGGUGUCUCCGGCCGCCUUUAUAUCCCGUCGCGGUGCUCUUCACCGAGUGUCGAGGCGGGCCGGCACGUUUACUUUGAACAAAUUAGAGUGCUUUAAGCAGGCCCUGUCCCGCCUGUAUGUUGUGUGCAUGGAAUAAUGGAAUAGGACCUCGGUUCUAUUUUGUUGGUUUUCGGAAUCUGAGGUAAUGAUCAAUGGGGACAGGCGGGGGCAUUCGUAUUGCGACGUUAGAGGUGAAAUUCUUGGAUCGUCGCAAGACGGACCGAAGCGAAAGCAUUUGCCAAGUAUGUUCUCGUCGAUCAAGAACGAAAGUUAGAGGUUCGAAGGCGAUCAGAUACCGCCCUAGUUCUAACCAUAAACUAUGCCUGCCAGCGAUCCGCCGAAGUUCCUCCGAUGACUCGGCGGGCAGCUUCCGGGAAACCAGAGCUUUUGGGUUCCGGGGGAAGUAUGGUUGCAAAGCUGAAACUUAAAGGAAUUGACGGAAGGGCACCACCAGGAGUGGAGCCUGCGGCUUAAUUUGACUCAACACGGGAAAACUCACCAGGCCCGGACACCGGAAGGAUUGACAGAUUGAGAGCUCUUUCUUGAUUCGGUGGGUGGUGGUGCAUGGCCGUUCUUAGUUGGUGGAGCGAUUUGUCUGGUUAAUUCCGAUAACGAACGAGACUCUAGCCUACUAACUAGGCGUACCCGGUAUCCACAAUCGUGCUACCGGCGAUCAUAUUUCUUCUUAGAGGGACAGGCGGCUUCUAGCCGCACGAGACUGAGCAAUAACAGGUCUGUGAUGCCCUUAGAUGUCCUGGGCCGCACGCGCGCUACACUGAAGGAAUCAGCGUGUCUUCCCUGUCCGAAAGGACCGGGUAACCCGCUGAACCUCCUUUGUGCUAGGGAUUGGGGCUUGCAAUUGUUCCCCAUGAACGAGGAAUUCCCAGUAAGCGCGAGUCAUAAGCUCGCGUUGAUUACGUCCCUGCCCUUUGUACACACCGCCCGUC
rnacentral:rRNA from 1 species